rnacentral:rRNA from 1 species
UACGGGGGGGGCAAGCGUUGUUCGGAAUUACUGGGCGUAAAGGGCGCGUAGGCGGCUUUUCAAGUCGGGCGUGAAAUCUCCGGGCUUAACCCGGAAGGGUUGUUCGAUACUGUUGAGCUAGAGUGUGGAAGAGGCAACUAGAAUUCCGUGUGUAGCGGUGAAAUGCGCAGAUAUCGGGAGGAACACCGGUGGCGAAGGCGGAUCUCUGGGCCUGUCCUGACGCUGAGGCGCGAAAGUGUGGGGAGCGAACAGG